CAUCUUACCCGACAGUGCUGGAUUGUACGACUGUUGUUCUAACACUGUCUGGUAACGAUGUU
rnacentral:pre_miRNA from 1 species